rnacentral:lncRNA from 1 species
UUAUUUCUAGUGCAGUUUCUUCCAUCCUUGUAAAAGUGUCUGUUUUCCUUUAUUGUUGUAUUACUGUAGGAACAAUGGAUGAAGUGUUGGCCUCAUUGCAACGUGGACAGAUACAACUUCGAAAGGUCCCCGUUCCCAGCGCAGCGUCUCCUGCUGGGGACUCGAGGAGCAGUCUGAUGUCUGCCAUCCGACUGGGAGUCACCCUGAAGAAGAUGGUUCGUGCACGCAAUGAAGUCCCGAGCGGCGGAGACAACGAGCUGGAGCGCAGCAUCAAAGCCGCCAUGAUGAGGAUGAAGAAGGUGGCAGCCGACUCUGACGAGGAUGACAGAGGAGACGACGAGACACACAACACAGACUGGGACAGCUGAGAACUAGGCGCUGCACAAUUAAUCGAAUAUUAAUCGUGAUCUCGAUUUUGGCUUCCCACAAUUAAAUGAACAUGAUAGACUGCGAUAUUGACCUCCACACACAUCAGACUGCUCGGUUUAUAACUCGGCUCGGCCAGAUAUUUCUCCGCUCUCGGCUGAGAUGGACGGCAUAGCACUGCAGUGUUUUCAGUUUUCUGUUCAUUUAUACAGUAUUAACACUGUUACAUUUAUUCACUGUAUGAAUUAGCCCAGGGGCUAGUGGACGUUUAGCUAGCAGCUUAAUCCCGACAGAACACCACAGUGAAUUUCAGUCAGCAUGCACGUUUUUUCCAGCUUAACAUUGUUGAACCGGAGCAGCUAAUAUUGUUAAUGAGAGCAACAAGUUAGCGGCCUGACGAGUCGUCACUGCUGUGUGUGUGGGAGGAGAGAAACGCCACACUAAAUGACAGUAAAGACUCACACUGAGCUGAAAUUAAAACACUGUGCUGCAACAAUGCGUCUUUCGAUUUUAAUCAAACGCAUUCAUUUUUAGGGAUUUUGUUAUUCUACAGCAUUGAAGGAAAAAAAAACCAACCAAAAUAUAUCCGAAUCCCAAAAUAAAAAAACUGAAUAUCUAACCAACGAACAAAUAUCUGAAUAGUCCAGCCCUACUUAUUUUGCUGCAAAAAAUUGUACAUUAGCAGGAAUGUAGCACAACAAGUGAAAGCAGUGCUCUGUUUAUUUAAAUGUAAAAGUGCAAUAAAAAUAUUUUGUCCCUAAAAUCAGUGAAUAAUCGUGGUAAAUAAUCGUGAUGUCAAUAUUGAUCAAAAAUAAUCGUGAUUAUCAUUUUGGCCAUAAUCGUGCAGCCCUACCGAAACCACACACACACACACACACACACACACACACACACACACACCACACACACACACACACCACACACACACACACACACACACACACACACACACACACACACACACACACACCACACACACACACACACACACACACACUCACACUCUGAGGCUGUUCUCUUACAUUACCCCCACUAUGUUUUCUUCACGGUUCUGAGCUACAGCUUACGUUGCUGCCAAAUUUUUACCAAAAAGCUUCCUCUUAGACAUGGAUGGGAUUACGCCUCUUCUGACUUGAACAUGGCAGUUUUCAAAAUAGCCCUGAGAUGUUGUAAUGAAUCCAAAACCGCUCGAAUCCAACCAACCAGCUAGUGUCAGAAUCAGGAUUUAAACUCCUCUAAAGCAGCUGAUUUGCAGAAAGCCCAAACAGAGCGAAUGAGGCGUUGUGCUUCACCACUCAUUAAGAAGAAAAGCCAAGCAGUAGUGCUGUAGUACAAUGUGUAAAUGAUUGAAUUUUUCCCAAGUCGCCAUCUGAAGGCCUUUUUGUGAGACUGUCACACAGCAGGGGAAGCCUAUGCUGCAGGCAGAGACAACCACACUACACAACUCCACUGUCACAAAUACUCUUUUACCCACAUUGCUGAGUCUAAAUUCAAUUGACUUCUAUUAUUUUGAAAGUAAUUAAAUCUGAACAAUUAUUUUUUUUUACUUGACUUUACCCCAAUAAGGGCUACACCAAACAGUUUUUUGUAGUUGCAUUGUGCAUUUUAUUACUAAACAAAGAUGGGUUAUAUCCUGAAGUACAGCAGUGUUAAUUACAGGGCUGCAACUAACGAUUAUUUUUCAUAGUCGAUGGAUCUGUUGAUUAUUUUCUCGAUUAAUCGAUUAGUUGUUUGGUCUAUAAAAUGUCAGAAAAUGGUGACAAAUGUGGAUCAGUGUUUCCCAAACGCCCAAGAUGACGUCCUGUUUUGUCCACAACUCAAAGAUAUUCAGUUUACUGUCAUAGAGGAGAGAAGAAACUACAAAAUAUUCACAUUUAAUAAGCUGGAAUCAAAGAAUUUUUACUUUUGUCUUAAAAAAAUUACUCAAACCGAUUAAUCGAUUAUCAAAAUAGUUGGCGAUUAAUUUAAAAGUUGACAACUAAUCGAUUAAUCGUUGCAGCUCUAGUUAAUUAUUUACAGCUACAGCCUGAAGUCUACGUCAUUGUUUGUGUUUGAUGCACUGUUUUUCUUUUUGUGUCGGAAAAGUGUGAAUGUGUUGGGUUUAAAUUAGGCGCAACUUAUACAUAGUCUGUUAUUUUUUUCUCUAUGAUGCCAUAACAAACACUACAUUAUCUUUUUUAAAUAACCAAAACUUCCUUUUAGUUAAAUUACUCUUUAUUGUGUACAGCUCUGUCUCUAGUUGUGGUUGAAUCCUCUGAAACGGUUUGCAGUCAGGUUGUUGAUGUUUAGGGCAAACUUUAUACUUAUGACCUUUGCACCUGUGACACAGAGCACUUACCUGAAAAGAUAAGUUUAUAAUGUAUUAUGUAAACAAAAUAUACAAUACUGUGUAUGGCAAGACAUAAUGAUUAAUUGCUGCAAAGAUAUGAAACUUGUUCCAGUGUGUUGCAGACGAGCUGAUGAGGGCUGUGGCUGAAACACACUUACUGCUGUGUUUUAAUUAUAAAUAAAGAGACACGUUAGAUCAUAA